rnacentral:rRNA from 1 species
UACGAAGGGGGCUAGCGUUGCUCGGAAUCACUGGGCGUAAAGCGCACGUAGGCGGAUUGCUAAGUCAGGGGUGAAAUCCUGGAGCUCAACUCCAGAACUGCCUUUGAUACUGGUGAUCUUGAGUCCGGGAGAGGUGAGUGGAGCUGCGAGUGUAGAGGUGAAAUUCGUAGAUAUUCGCAAGAACACCAGUGGCGAAGGCGGCUCACUGGCCCGGUACUGACGCUGAGGUGCGAAAGCUAGGGGAGCAAACAGG